AACGAACGCUGGCGGCAGGCUUAACACAUGCAAGUCGAACGCCCCGCAAGGGGAGUGGCAGACGGGUGAGUAACACGUGGGAACGUGCCCUAAGGUUUGGAAUAUUCUCGGGAAACUGGGAGCAAUACCAAAUGUGACCGCAAGGUGAAAGAUUUAUCGCCUUAGGAUCGGCCCGCGUCAGAUUAGGUAGUUGGUGGGGUAAUGGCCUACCAAGCCGACGAUCUGUAGCUGGUCUGAGAGGACGACCAGCCACACUGGGACUGAGACACGGCCCAGACUCCUACGGGAGGCAGCAGUGGGGAAUCUUGGACAAUGGGCGCAAGCCUGAUCCAGCCAUGCCGCGUGAGUGAUGAAGGCCCUAGGGUUGUAAAACUCUUUCGUGGGGGACGAUAAUGACGGUACCCCAAGAAGAAGCUCCGGCUAACUUCGUGCCAGCAGCCGCGGUAAUGUCUGUACU
rnacentral:rRNA from 1 species